GAUGAAGAACGUAGUGAAAUGCGAUAGUAAUGUGAAUUGCAGAAUUCAGUGAAUCAUCGAAUCUUUGAACGCACAUUGCGCCCCUUGGUAUUCCGAGGGGCAUGCCUGUUCGAGCGUCAUUAUAACCCCUCAAGCUCAGCUUGGUGUUGGGGCCUGCUGCACUGGCAGCCCUUAAAAUCAGUGGCGGCGCCAUCUGGCUCUAAGCGUAGUAAUUCUUCUCGCUAUGGAGUCCUGGUGGAUGCUUGCCAUCAACCCCCAAUUUUUCUAUGGUUGACCUCGGAUCAGGUAGGGAUACCCGCUGAACUUAAGCAUAUCAAUAAGCGGAGGA
rnacentral:misc_RNA from 1 species